AAAAAAGCCUUACAGGUUUGACAAUGUAAGAGGCUUCUGCCCCAUGUGCUACACUUGGACUAGUAGUUUGCUAGCUGCCUGUAAUCUCCAGAUGAUCUUAACUUUACACACAGACCUCAUGAGGCAACCAGAUGGAGGGGGAAUUCUUGCUGCAUCCAGAAAGGGUAGCUUCUAGGUUGCUGGAGGUAGCCUAUCCCACUCUUGGGAGUAAGCAGCAAGAGUGUCCUGUUCCCCUGCCUGAUCAUGAACUGGAAUGCAGCUGAAUUCUAAUCAUAACACCAGGACAUACCCCAGCAGUUCACAUGUGCUUUUUCUUCUAGUUUGGGAGCACACAGAGUGUGUUUAAUAAGCCAGGUACUUUCUCAAUUUUCCCUUAAGACGUCUUCGUUUGGGAAGCCAAGCAGGCUGCAAGACUGGGCUUGUACGAGCUGUGGGAAUUAAAUGUGUCCAAAUAGUACAUAUGAUCCCUGAAGAGCCAGGCUGGUGGACAUAUUUCCCGUCCCGUCCCUGCCCCCCAAAGUCAGACGCCUUCUCUCUCUUUCUCUCACUGUCUCGUUCUGUGCCCUUUCCAGCACCAGUUCCCAAGCUCUGGAAUCAAGAGGCUUAUUCUCUGGAGAAUGUUUGAUGGAGACAGAUGUUUCAGGGAUGGUCCAAAUAAUCAGAGUGCAAAGAUUCUUGGACUGGCUGAAAGAGAAAGAGAUCUGUCUAAUUUCCAUGGGCACACAGAGUACCCGCAUCUGGACAAAGUUAACAGCAGCCAGAGAUUGCAUGCAGCAUUUAAAAACCAGCAUGUGGAGUUUCUUUUUCUUGGCCCUCCGAGGCCUUGGGGUUGUAGCUCUGUCAAGCCAAAACUACAAAAGUUCAAUGAGCUUUUGUCAAGCCAGAACAAAGUUCUUUGGCUCUAAAUGUAUAGUUCUCGAGGAUUUCAUAUGGGAAGGGACAGAUGGAAGCUAUUCACCUGGCAGUCACAACGAUCAGAAAUUUUUGUUGUUAUGGUUGCUGGACAGAGAUUUAUUCUGGGCCAUGAAAAUGAUUUUUGGGGCCUGCCUGACCAUGUGCUCUAAAAUCAAGGGAAUUCCUUUCACUGCUUCUGAAACAUUUGCUCGUGAGGUUCAGAAUCUUUUAAAACAACUUGGAUUUUCUGACAGAGCCUUUGAAAACGUCCUGUUUUGA
rnacentral:lncRNA from 1 species